UACAGAGGGUGCGAGCGUUAAUCGGAAUUACUGGGCGUAAAGCGCGCGUAGGCGGUUUUGUAAGUCGGGUGUGAAAAUCCCCCAAGCUUAACUUGGGGAACUGCAUUCGAGACUGCAUAGCUAGAGUAUGGGAGAGGGAAGUGGAAUUUCAGGUGUAGCGGUGAAAAUGCGUAGAUAUCUGAAGGAACAUCAGUGGCGAAAAGCGACUUCCUGGACCAAUACUGACGCUCAUGUGCGAAAGCGUGGGGGAGCAAACAGG
rnacentral:rRNA from 1 species